rnacentral:rRNA from 1 species
AUUGAACGCUGGCGGCAGGCCUAACACAUGCAAGUCGAGCGGAUGAGUGGAGCUUGCUCCAUGAUUCAGCGGCGGACGGGUGAGUAAUGCCUAGGAAUCUGCCUAGUAGUGGGGGACAACGUUUCGAAAGGAACGCUAAUACCGCAUACGUCCUACGGGAGAAAGCAGGGGACCUUCGGGCCUUGCGCUAUCAGAUGAGCCUAGGUCGGAUUAGCUAGUAGGUGAGGAAUGGCUCACCUAGGCGACGAUCCGUAACUGGUCUGAGAGGAUGAUCAGUCACACUGGAACUGAGACACGGUCCAGACUCCUACGGGAGGCAGCAGUGGGGAAUAUUGGACAAUGGGCGAAAGCCUGAUCCAGCCAUGCCGCGUGUGUGAAGAAGGUCUUCGGAUUGUAAAGCACUUUAAGUUGGGAGGAAGGGCAGUAAGUUAAUACCUUGCUGUUUUGACGUUACCAACAGAAUAAGCACCGGCUAACUUCGUGCCAGCAGCCGCCGUAAAAC